GCUUUUCGGAUCGAUAGAGUGAAGUGGAGUAGCAAUACAAAACAACACAACAUUUUGAAGAAAAGCGCUGGUUAGUGGCGAACGAGGUAGUAAUAUAUAGGAAUGUACCCUUUAGUCGUGAACAACUCAUCGAAAGAUGGGCUAAUACACGAUAGUCUCUCCGGAGUAAAGUUUUUCGCUAGGGGAACAGCCUAUACGGUAUCAGCUAGUUGGUAGUGUAAUGGACUACCAAGGCUAUGACGCCUAGGGGAGGUGAGAGCCUGACCCCCACCGAUGGGACUGAGACACGGCCCAUACACCUACGGGUGGCUGCAGUCGAGAAUCUUCCACAAUGGACGAAAGUCUGAUGGAGCGACGCCGCGUGGUUGAUGAAGUGGUUCGCCAUGUAAAAACCUUUUAUGAGGGAAGAAGUUUAUUGACGGUACCUCAUGAAUAAGGGGCUCCUAAUCUCGUGCCAGCAGGAGCGGUAAUACGAGAGCCCCGAGCGUUAUCCGGAAUUAUUGGGCGUAAAGUGUGCGUAGGCGGUUAUGUUAGUCAUUUUUCAAAUCUAUCGGCUCAACCGGUAAACUGGAGAUGAAACGGCAUUGACUAGAGGCUGUAAGAGGUAUAUGGAACUCAUGGUGUAGGGGUGAAAUCCGUUGAUAUCAUGGGGAACACCAAAAGCGAAGGCAAUAUACUGGUACAGUUCUGACGCUGAGGCACGAAAGCGUGGGUAGCGAAUGGGAUUAGAUACCCCAGUAGUCCACGCCCUAAACGAUGUUCUCUUGCUUUUCGGAGUAUCGACCCUCUGAGAGGCGACGCUAACGCUAUAAGAGAACCGCCUGGGAAGUACGGCCGCA
rnacentral:rRNA from 1 species